UACGUAGGGUGCAAGCGUUUGUCCGGAAUUAUUGGGCGUAAAGAGCUCGUAGGCGGUUUGUCGCGUCUGCUGUGAAAACUCGGGGCUUAACCCCGGGCCUGCAGUGGGUACGGGCAGACUAGAGUGCGGUAGGGGGAGACUGGAAUUCCUGGUGUAGCGGUGAAAUGCGCAGAUAUCAGGAGGAACACCGGUGGCGAAGGCGGGUCUCUGGGCCGUAACUGACGCUGAGGAGCGAAAGCGUGGGGAGCGAACAGG
rnacentral:rRNA from 1 species